UUAAUGUGUCAAAUCAUAGGAAUGAAUUUGUAUGAGGAUAUAUAUUCCAAACAGCAGGUAUAUUCUCACGACAAGAAAGCAUUGUGUAAAUAGCAAUUCUGAAUUGUAUAUAUACUAAUAAUCUGGCAACAUUACACACUCCUCUGCUAUACAAUGCUGUAGCCAUUGCGCUUUUCUCGUAGUAGACAAAUUUGGAAAAAGAAGUACGCGAUAUAAAAAUUGUAAAAAAAUUAUAGAUUUAUUUGGGAAGAACUAUUAGAAGGUAAGGAAAAAAUUAAAUAAUUUAGGUAUUAAAAAUGGUCGAUGCAGCCAGACAAAUGCUGGAUGAGCUGAUGGGGCGUAACCGCAACCUGCAUCCAUCGGAAGCAGUCCGAAAAGUGAAUUGGGAUGACCCAGAUUUUUGUCAAUAUUACAUAGUGAAAUUCUGCCCUCAUGAUCUCUUUAUUAACACUCGAGCUGAUCUCGGUCCUUGUACUCGCAUUCAUGACGACGAGGCAAAACAACUAUACAGCCAAGCACGUUCUAGUCCUCGAAAACGUCAGUAUGAAGACGAAUUUUUGCGCUUUUGCAAUACGAUGUUAAACGACGUGGAACGUAAGAUACAAAAAGGAAAACAGCGCUUACAGUUAAUGAACCGGGAUCAGUGCGUUACACAAAUUCAUGUCUCGAAAUACGCGGAGCAAUUAAAUAAUUUAAAUGCUAGAAUUAAGAAACUUUUAUCUGAAGCUGAGGAAGCAGGUAUACGUGGAGAUGUAGACCAAGCACAAGAUUUAAUGUCGCUUUGUGAACAACUAAAGGAAGAAAAAGACACAUUGGUUGCCCAACAUGAAAGUGGAAUCAGUAAAAUUAAUCAAACGACAGAGCGAUCCGAGCUUCCAGUUGAGAAAAUCAUUGCCGAACCAUCAACACCUAGCGAUUGCGAAAGUGAUAAAAAGGCUGCAGCUUGGAUUAAUGAUAUGGGUACAUUGCCGGAAAAACAAAUGGAAGUAUGUGAAACAUGUGGUGCUUUUUUAAUUGUUGGGGAUGCCCAGCAACGUAUUGAAGAUCAUUUGAUGGGAAAACAACAUUUAGGAUAUUCCCGUUUACGUAAAGCAGUUGAAGAAAUUCAAGAGAGGCGUCAAAAAGAACGUGAGGAGGAGGAACGUUUACGUAAAGAAGACCGUGACCGAGAUCGUUCCUCACGUUCCGCAUAUGUUAAUCGUGACCGCAAAAGAGAUUAUGACAGGGAGCGUGAAUAUAAUCGAGAACAUGGGCGCCAUCCUGAGAGACACCGACACCACCACAAAAGCCAUCGCCGGCGGUCACGUAGCCGAAACUAUCGACAUAGCAAUGGCGGUAGCCGUAGUCGCAGCCGAAGUCGUUACUAAAGUACUAGUUUCUAAAAUGAUGGAUAGAGGUACCCCCCAAAAAACCAUAAAAUUAAAAUAAAAAAUUUAUAAAUAACUCAGAUAUUCUCAGAGCAUUGUAUGUACAAGAACAUAUUUGAUAUAAAAUCCUCCAUCUGUGGGUCUUUUCUGUAGUAAACCUCUUUAGCAGGUUAGUGGCUUAUAAAUAAAUUAAAUAAAUCUUUUCAUAAUAUGUUUCACUUAUGCAUUAUUAUUGGCAUUAUGGUUCCUGUUUGAAACCAGAAGAGAAUGAUGCAGUUCGCUUUCAUUAAUGAGAUACUACAGGUACAUUCUUAAUUUACAUAUAAACAUAAUAGUUAGUUUUAAGAUAUAGAUAUAGAGAUGUCCAUUUACUUUUUGCUAUUUUUGGAAAUCCAAAAUACAAAAUGAAUCAAAAAACUUUAAAACCGGCAGCAAAAGUGGGUAACGCUGUGAUGAAGGAUGUGUAGUCCGUGCCAUAUACACGAACGUGUCUUGCUGAUUGAUAUACGCCCAUAAGAAGGUACUUGCUAAUUAAAAGUUAACUUCAACUAAAACACAAAAACAAAACAAAAAACAAUAAAAAGAAAAUAUCAAUAUCAUCUGUAACCAGGCUAAAUUUUUUUAAAGUUUUUUAAGUUUAAUUUAGCUAUUUUGAUAUCUGAAAAGAUGUGUCUCAGCUUCAUCUUUUUCUAAAGUAGAACACAAAUUCUAAUUGUGUGGCGCUCGUCCAAAUCUCCUUACCAAAUAUCGAAAUAAGGUACAUUUAAACUAGCACUAAUUCCUAAAUCAAGUUAUGUGUAUUUUUUUGUAUUUAUGUUGUAUCAACAUUUAUAAAUUUAAGAUUCUAGAUCAAAUGACGACUUACCAUUUAAAUAUAAUUAAUUCUACGCACAUGAUAACACAACAAGUACAGAGGUAAUUGAAUACAUAUGUAAACAUUAUCUAGAAAUUUGUGAACUAAUUCUAAUCUAGGAGAGGAGAGUUUUUAGAGAUAUUGGGAUUAGAUAUAAAAUGAUAUGUUAUUGGUGGAUAUGUGUGAGAAAUGUUGUGAGGAUCGUUUAUUUUUUUGAACUCACUUUGAAAAAGACACUUCAAUUAUCUACCACUUGCUGAAGACUUCUCUAAUUUCGUAUUCACAACUACUCAACACAACAUGAUGAAGCAGGUAAUCAAAUCUCUAUCCAAUAGUCGGCGAACACAAUAUAUAUAAAUAAUAUAUAUGAAUGUUCCAGGAAAGGAUUUAAAGAAAAAAACAAGGUGAUUCAU